CUACGGGCUGCUGCAGUGAGGAAUAUUGCACAAUGGGGGGAACCCUGAUGCAGCAACGCCGCGUGGAGGAUGACGCAUUUCGGUGUGUAGACUCCUUUUAUAUGUCAAGAAAAUGACGGUAGCAUAUGAAUAAGCACCGGCUAACUCCGUGCCAGCAGCCGCGGUAUACGGAGGGUGCAAGCGUUACUCGGAAUCACUGGGCGUAAAGGACGCGUAGGCGGGUUGGAAAGUCAGGUGUGAAAUCCUACAGCUUAACUGUAGAACUGCACUUGAAACUUCUAAUCUAGAGUAUGGGAGGGGGAGAUGGAAUUAGUGGUGUAGGGGUAAAAUCCGUAGAUAUCACUAGGAAUACCUAAAGCGAAGGCGAUCUCCUGGAACAUUACUGACGCUAAGGCGUGAAAGCGUGGGGAGCAAACAGGAUUAGAUACCCCAGUAGUC
rnacentral:rRNA from 1 species